AAAGGCGAAGAUGGGUAGCAGGUGUGAGAGCACGACCUGCGUCACUGGGACUGAGACACUGCCCAGACACCUACGGGGUGGCUGCAGUCGAGAAUCUUCGGCAAUGGGCGAAAGCCUGGACCGAGCGACGCCGCGUGCGGGAUGAAGGCCUUCGGGUUGUAAACCGCUGUCGGAGGGGAUGAAAUGCCGAUGGGUACUCCCAACGGCUUGACUGAUCCUCGGAGGAAGGGUGGGCUAAGUUCGUGCCAGCAGCCGCGGUAAGACGUACCACCCAAACGUUAUUCGGAAUCACUGGGGCUUAAAGAGUCCGUAGGCGGCUCGGUAAGUUGGAUGUGAAAUACCUCGGCUCAACCGAGGAACUGCAUUCAAAACUACCGAGCUUGAGAGAGACAGAGGUAAGCGGAACUGAUGGUGGAGCGGUGAAAUGCGUUGAUAUCAUCAGGAACACCGGUGGCGAAAGCGGCUUACUGGGUCUCUUCUGACGCUGAGGGACGAAAGCUAGGGGAGC
rnacentral:rRNA from 1 species